GGGAAAGGGAAGGGAGGCUGAAGUCAGGCCAGGGGCUUAGGGUGGCUAGGGAUGGGAUGAUGCCUAGAGACUUCUGGGAGCGUAGGCCGAGUGGUACCCCAAUCUCAGACUCACGCUGGGGAAGAAGGUCUGGAUGGAAGCUAAAGGGUCAUGUGUGCCUGCCUGCCCCCCUUCAGCUUUUCUUGGUCACGGGGCUAUUCUGUGCGUGGCUUCCCAGCAGCUACCAGCUGCCCCUGUGGCAGCUGGCUCACCUGCCCAGCUAUGAGAGUAUUCGAAAGAAGACCCAGCAGCAGCAGCUGUCACCAAGCUAUGAGGAGGCGAGGCCCUCAGGUCACUGCCUGCACCACGACCGAACUGCGGCUCUGCUCAUCCACCCCAUGAAGCGACACCUGCUCUGCUCAGGGAAACACCACUGUGUAGGAGGAACACCCUCUUCCAUCCUGCCCCUUUCUGCUUUUCCAGAGGACUGGCAGGGACGGUGCUGAGCCUACAGAGACACCUCCAGCCAUCUCCCCCAGCUGGGCCUUGGUACGUGAGCCCCCACAAGAAGGAAGCCAAAGUGAACCUCAACAAACCCUGGGCCACCUCUGCCAAGGAUCUGCAGGAGGUGGAGAAUCUGGGAUCGUGUCCUGAGAAAAUAAGGUGACAAGUUCAAAGCGGACCUUCUUAGGUUGGGAGGCUCUGUGCCCCGGUCCCUGAAGCUCCUGCCUGCAGGGCUGAGAGUCCUUGGAAGGAAGCCACUGGACCCUACAGGCCCUGCUGGGGCUGCAGCCCAAACUGCCCACCCCCAACAGCCAAGACAGCCCUCUGCCCCAGCUGAGACUUUCUUCCUGGCCUUGCCACUCGAAGCCAAGCGUCUAAGGUCUUGGGCUGGACUGACAGUGAAGGCCCCAGCCCAGUCGAGGCCCAGAUUGAGUUCCUAAAGCCAGAUCCUUUGCUGUUUAUGGUUUGUGAUAGAUCAAGAACCAGAAAAGGAUGUGAGGUGGGCAUGUCUUUCCCCAGGAGAUGGAAAGCAGCCCAUUUGUCACCCAUUCUGCCUCAUCACUGAAAGGACCUGGGUAUUCCUGGGUAGAUGGGGACUUUCUACGCUGGACCCACAGAGUCAGACAGGGCCACUCCUGGGGCUGCAGCCCCAGCUCCCUCCAAAUAUGGCUCCAGGAGAGGACAUGACCAUGUUGCUUCCUUUACGGCCCCUCCCCCACACCCCCACUCCCCCCAGGACCCGGCCUGGGAUGGGUUCCUGGGGGAGAAGGAGCAGUGACACCCUCAAGCACAAGCUCUCCUCCUCCUUCCCCUCGGGGAGAUGGCUCUAAAGCAAUCCCUUCUCAAACACACUCCCCUCUUCUCUUUUCCUCACUCUGGCAGGCCGCUUCUCUGCUUUGAGGGUGCUCCGUGGUGCACGCUACAGAACGUGGGUAAGGGCCAAAAAACCAGCAAGCAGCGCCAUCCAGGUUUAUCCCCACACAGCACAGACUCAUGACUCCAGCACACUUUAUUUCUGGCCCCAGGUCAGGUCUCCCAAGAGCCAGUCACUUCAGAGUCUUCUGCAAUCACCACCAAACAGAUGUCCUCAGCAGACCUCGUCGUGCCAACCCUGGACUUCUGCUGCUGCCAUCCUCU